rnacentral:rRNA from 1 species
AGCAGCCGCAGUAAUUCCAGCUCCAAUAGCGUAUAUUAAAGUUGUUGCAGUUAAAAAGCUCGUAGUUGAAUUUCGGGAUCAAUUAAUUGGUCGUGCCUUUGGUACGUACUGAUUUUAUUGGUUUCUCCCUUCUGACGAACCAUGAUGUCAUUAAUUUGGUGUCGUGGAGAAUCAGGACUGUUACUUUGAAAAAUUAGAGUGUUUAAAGCAAGCUAACGCUUGAAUACAUUAGCAUGGAAUAAUGAAAUAGGACGUUUGAUCCUAUUUUGUUGGCUUCUAGGAUCGACGUAAUGAUUAAUAGGGAUAGUUGGGGGCAUUAGUAUUCAAUUGUCAGAGGUGAAAUUCUUGGAUUUAUUGAAGACUAACUACUGCGAAAGCAUUUGCCAAGGAUGUUUUCAUUAAUCAAGAACGAAAGUUAGGGGAUCGAAGACGAUCAGAUACCGUCGUAGU